rnacentral:rRNA from 1 species
UACGUAGGGUGCGAGCGUUAAUCGGAAUUACUGGGCGUAAAGCGUGCGCAGGCGGUUCGCUAAGACCGAUGUGAAAUCCCCGGGCUCAACCUGGGAAUUGCGUUGGAGACUGCAAGGCUGGAGUCUGGCAGAGGGGGGUAGAAAUCCACGUGUAGCAGUGAAAUGCGUAGAGAUGUGGAGGAACACCGAUGGCGAAGGCAGCCCCCUGGGUCAAGACUGACGCUCAUGCACGAAAGCGUGGGGAGCAAACAGG